rnacentral:tRNA from 1 species
GGGGUUGUGGCUCAGCGGUAGAGUGCUUGCCUACCAUGCGUGAGGCCCUGGGUUCAAUCCCCAGCACCA